ACGCUCGACACCUACGGGAGCAGCAGUGGGGAAUAUUGCACAAUGGGGGAAACCCUGAUGCAGCGACGCCGCGUGAGUGAAGAAGUAUUUCGGUAUGUAAAGCUCUAUCAGCAGGGAAGAAAAUGACGGUACCUGACUAAGAAGCCCCGGCUAACUACGUGCCUGCAGCCGCGGUAAUCUGAGCGGGCUGGCAAGGC
rnacentral:rRNA from 1 species